GCCCGCGUGGCACAAUUGGCUAGCGCGUGAGACUUUUAAUUACGGCACUAUGGUAGUAAUAGCAAUCUCAAGGUUCUGAGUUCGAGCCUCAGCGUGGGCG